GAAUGAAUCGGGUCCUUCAGCUAUUGGAACGGGGCCAUGUGUUGAUCAGGCCCCAGAUGUCAUUGACGUGUGUUUUCUUCAAAAGCAAGACGGGGGACUUGUCUAUAUGCUGUCCAAUGAUGCCUGUCUGAGCAGACCUAACAUGUUUGAAGGAAGCAUAAUUUCCAAAAAUCCACAGGGACCCUGUAUAUCCCAGGACGGCAGCCCUCUCUUAUUGCUGGAGACAUGAACACAGGUAAAAAGAAGAAUAUAACUAAUUUAUUGCAUUUUUACUUCUUAACCUCAACUUUUCAGUGAUUUCCAUCUCUGUUUUCCCAAGAGGUGCAUGGAGGAAAGCAGUCUAAUUACUAAAGUUCCUGACUGCUUACUCAACUUUCUCUUACGAAACUCUGUGCAAACGUUUUCAUUUUAUCAGACUAGGAAACC